rnacentral:rRNA from 1 species
AACGAACGCUGGCGGCAUGCCUAACACAUGCAAGUCGAACGAGACCUUCGGGUCUAGUGGCGCACGGGUGCGUAACGCGUGGGAACCUGCCCUUAGGUUCGGAAUAACUCCCCGAAAGGGGUGCUAAUACCGGAUAAUGUCUUCGGACCAAAGAUUUAUCGCCUUUGGAUGGGCCCGCGUUGGAUUAGCUAGUUGGUAGGGUAAAAGCCUACCAAGGCGACGAUCCAUAGCUGGUCUGAGAGGAUGAUCAGCCACACUGGGACUGAGACACGGCCCAGACUCCUACGGGAGGCAGCAGUGGGGAAUAUUGGACAAUGGGCGAAAGCCUGAUCCAACAAUGCCGCGUGAGUGAUGAAGGCCUUAGGGUUGUAAAGCUCUUUUACCCGGGAUGAUAAUGACAGUACCGGGAGAAUAAGCGCCGGCUAACUCCGUG